CUAGUGGCUGCCCAGCCCAGUGCCUGUCGCGGAGCCGUCUCCUGGUGAACGGCGACAGAAGAAACAGUAUGGCGCACACGUGCACUGCACGUUGUCAAUGCCGGGCGCUGGCUUUAGACCUUUAGCAGGCAAUCCACCCCCAAGAGCCAGGUUGUGCCCAUUUUAUAGAUGAGGAAACGGAGGCACCGGAAAGCUGGAAAUCCCAUGUCACAGGAACCCCUCUGUCCCAGGCAAACUAGAACGUUUGGUCACCUGUGGGGAAAAGGGCGUCGCAGUGAGGACCAGCGGCUGGAAGUCAGACACGCCGGGUGCUGCCUCUCGCUACCCUCUCGGUCCGCAUCACCUCCACCCAAUAGAAGAGGAUGCUGAGGCUCAGAAGCUGUGACAUCCACUCACACAGCACGGCAGUGACGCCGCAUGCCAGCAAACCCCAGCUCUCCCUGCCCCCCAGCCUUGCUGCUCUUCUCUGCACAAGGCUGUAAAAUGAUGACACAAAGGCGGACUAUGUCCCGGGAGCGGGUCUGUGUGAUCCUGUCCCCACACCACACCUCUUCCGCCCCCUCCUCUCCCUGGCUGACUCCUCGCCGUCCUUGGACACCAGCUUGAGGGCCCUCGCCUGCAGGCAGUCUGCCUGAUCUCCAGCCUGUUUCAGAAGCCCCGGGGCCUGUGCUUGGGCAACCAGGGUUCUUACACUUUAGGUUGUAGCAGGCCCUUGUCAGUCUCCCCCUGCACUAGGGCACCCAGGGGCCAAGAACUGAUGGC